ACUAAACAGGAUUCUCUUAGUAACGGCGAGUGAACAGAGAUUAGCCCAACAUCGAAGCCGCCAUGCAUUUGUGUGGAAGGCAAUGUGAUGUAAAGGUGUCUGCUUUCGCAUUUCGGCUAACUUGAAGUCCAUAUUUGACUGUGGCUUUGCAAUGCACCCAUAGAUGGUGAAAGGCCCGUUCAGGUUGGUAUUCAGACAAGACGAUUUGCGUAUAUGCAUUCGCCAUGGAGUCGGAUUGCUUGAGAGUGCAGUCCAAAUUUGGUGGUAAACUCCAUCUAAGGCUAAAUACCUGUACGAGUCCGAUAGUCGACAAGUACCGUGAGGGAAAGUUGAAAAGUACUCUGAAGAGAGAGUAAAUAGUACGUGAAACUACAUGGAGGUUAAACAGAUAGAGUCAAGCUGCGU
rnacentral:rRNA from 1 species